rnacentral:rRNA from 1 species
UACGUAGGGUGCAAGCGUUGUCCGGAAUUAUUGGGCGUAAAGAGCUCGUAGGCGGCUUGUUGCGUCGAUCGUGAAAACUUGGGGCUUAACCCUAAGCUUGCGGUUGAUACGGGCAGGCUAGAGUUCGGUAGGGGAGACUGGAAUUCCUGGUGUAGCGGUGAAAUGCGCAGAUAGUCAGGAGGAACACCGGUGGCGAAGGCGGGUCUCUGGGCCGAUACUGACGCUGAGGAGCGAAAGCGUGGGGAGCGAACAGG